GGCUCUGAUGGACAGCAGGCCUGUCCCGCCCCUCCCUUUCGGCCUCGCGGGGCUGGCCCUCAGGCUGCUCCUGCGACGGCCGGACCCCUGUCUGUCGCGCCGCUGCGGCCAGUGUGGUCUUCGACGGACCCGUCAUUCGGAGAAGCCCCCAGGCCUGAGCGUCCCCUGUAGGGCCUUUAGACGUGUGGCCCCCGGUGGCCUCCAUCUCUGUGGCUUCUCAUCAGCCACUGCCCGCCCCAUCUCACGCUCCGCCUCCACGCGCCCCUCUUGCAAAUGCUCUCCGGAGCUUUGGUUUUCCUGGCCUAACUCCCUGUGUUUUCCUCCUGCCUCACAGGCCGCUGCCUUUCGGUCGGUCCCAGAAGCUUCUCUUCCUCUGGGCUGGGUCCUGAGCUAGUUCCUAAGGCGACCCGACCUUUCCCGUGGCUUCACCCCCAAACCCAGGCGCCCGUAGCGCCAAAUCUGUAUCUCCCCUUCAUCCCACUGUCGAUUUCACGCCCCCACUUACCACGAACGUCUCACCUCCCUCAAACUGCUCUUCCCACCGUGUUCACUUUCUCGGAACACGGCACUAAGUCUUCUAAGGUGCUUGGGCCAAAACCCUUGGAGGUAUCCUUGAUUCCUCUGUCGGCCUCAAUCACCCAGCAAUCUAGCAAGGCCUGUUUGCUCUACAGUCGGCUAUCUCCACUUCACCCACAAGCCUGACGUCCAUCUUUUCUCAUCCAGACUAUUUACUCUUCCUGAUCUUGACUGCAUCUAUUCUUCAUGCUUUAAUCUUUAAAAAGAAAUUAAAUCGCGAUCCCCUACCUCUGGCCUCAAACCCUUCAUGACUUUCUAUUGCACUUAACAUCCAUACUUCCUCCCAUCCCAGCUGGUCCUGUACAGUCAGGCCCCUUUUUCUCUUUCCCCGUUUGUCUGUACUGCCUCCCCUUCACUCUCCAUGCUCCAGCCACAAGGCCUUUUAGUGGUUACUUGAAUAAUUCACUCUGUCUUCCUGAAGCCGUUCCGUAGACUUGCCCCUGCAGCGUAGCUGCCCCGGUCACAAACUGAAGACACCUGUGGUCACAGUGGAGCCAGUCUGACAGAUGUCGAGUCAAGCAAAGCAGGGCAACUUCAGAGGCCAGAGGCCCAGCAGAGCACCCAGCUGAUGCCAGAGAAAGAUCCAGGUUUCUGGAAUUUAUGGAAAAACUGAGGCACAGAUAGAUUAAGAGACAUGGACACACAGCUGAGAGAUGGGAUUCAAACUCAGGCAGCCUGGCUCCAGAGUCAAUGCUAAUGUUGCCUCCCAUGUAGUAAGACAGUGGAGAUGAACCAGACCAAGUUCUCACUCCACUUGCGGGUAGAGAAAUGCCAACAGACAUUUGUCAACAGAUGACAAUUCAGUGCGAGAAGGGCCCAUGGAGCACUGAGAAGAGAUGUGAUGGUAGAGGUAAG